rnacentral:rRNA from 1 species
GAUGAACGCUGGCGGCGUGCUUAACACAUGCAAGUCGAACGAUGAACCACUUCGGUGGGGAUUAGUGUCGAACGGGUGAGUAACACGUGGGCAAUCUGCCCUUCACUCUGGGACAAGCCCUGGAAACGGGGUCUAAUACCGGAUACAACACUCUCGGGCAUCCGAUGAGUGUGGAAAGCUCCGGCGGUGAAGGAUGAGCC